UAUGUAAGUAAUCAAUAUAAAUUUGAUAUGUAUUUUUGUACAAAAAUUAUUUAUGAAAAAAUAUAGCUCACGUAUUAUAGUAUCGCAAGUGGAAGUCCCGGCCUACUCGUCGUUUUGAAAAGUACAUACGUAAGAAAUAAGAAAGCAAAUGACUUAUUAGACUGAGACUAAUUCUUGUGGCGUUGUUAGCAUUAGGUAUCAUGUUUGGCGUGACAAUAAUGGUCUUUUUUCUUAAAUGGCUAACUCAGAAGUUAUCGGAACUACCAAGUCCGCCUCGCGAUGACGAUUUGACGACACCAAAGCCUGAUCGACACUACGUACCACCGCCAUUACAAGGAUAAUGAGAAAUUUAAAGUUAUCUUGCAUGUUUCACAGGCACAAAUCCCAAUACUUAUAACUCAAUAUAUAUUUUAAGAAGACAUUCUAAACCAUGAUAAAAGAACACAAUACACGUAGGUACUUCCGAAAGUGUAAAGCGGAAGCACAAAAUAAUUUUUAUUCUUUACUGUUUUAAAAACAUGGGAAAAGUAAGCAUAGGUACCUUAUACACUGUUAAAAGAAACUUAACCCAUAAUAUUCUUUUUUUUGUAUUUUAUGGCCAAAUCGGAGUAAUUAUCGUUUGAACUGUAUAAAUUAAAUUUAAUUUUUAUUAACCACUAGCUGACCCGCGAACUUCGUACCGCCUAACAGUCGAU
rnacentral:lncRNA from 1 species